CUCCGCCCGAUUCCAAAAGCCCAGGGGGUGGGCCUCGCCCUUCCUCUCCCUCCAGGUUUAAUUAUCUGAAGAGUCUUGGACUUUCAUUUCUUGUUUUUUGCUUGUUUGCUUGUUUGUUUGCACCUGGUUGAUGUAUAAGUCUUGGACUUUGGGAGACCCAAAAGAGAAGGAAGGUGUUGGCAAUAUCCUUGAAGAGACUAAAAGAACUCAGAACAACACUGAACAAGCCAGCAGAGCCAUCAACUCACCCCUACAGUCUCCAUACACAGACUCCAUGAAAGCAUUGGCCAUCAGCUCUCACUGGUUUCUGCCCCAAAUUCACACACUCCCUCCUAUCACCAAAGCCACCCGCCACCGCUGGCCUCCUGCAUGCUGUGGGAGGAGAGGAGGGCAGACAACGUUGCCUCCCCUGACUCCCAUCGCGCGGGCUUGUGAGUCCAUGGAGCGCAGUUGUCCAGGGAACUAUCCGAUGCAGCAUGAGAGGAAGGUGAUGCAGCGGCAUCCCACCUUGAGAUGAGAGAAAGCUGUUCUGGGCUUCCAGUGAUUGGCAGCUGAGGUCACUCCUUUGCCCAUACCCCCGCCCCGAGACUGUUUCCAGUGCCCCAAGUUCACCUCAAGGAUCAUUGCACAGCAGAAAUGUAAGGAGGCCACCAGCCAAGAAAUGCUGUCAGUGCCUGGAAGCUGGAAAGGCAAUGAAAUGGAUUUUCCCCAGAACCUCCAGGGAGAAUAUGGCACAGCUUCUACCUUGAUUUUCACCCAGUGAGACACAUUUUGGAUUUCUGACCUAAAGAAUUGUAAGGCUGCCUGGAUCCCCAGAGUUUGUCUGGAAAGCCUCUUGAGAUGGGGUUAUGUGCUCCGAGGAUCCCAGGAGGAAGGAUGGGGCAAGAGCAGACAAACCUAUGCCUCUACAGCAGCUGUACCGUUGUCCUGGGAGUGAGCCCCAGCCGUGGCUCAAGGCACACGUGCCUCCAGAGGACAAUCUGGGAUGCUCAGGGGACAGAGAGGCAGAGGGACUAUCAGGGUGAAGCUGUCUUUUUCACUUGUUUGGCACUCAGCCCAGGGCCUGGAUUUAUCCUGCACAAAAUGAACAGUGCAGGGCCCUUCAUCUGGGGAAAGCCUAACAGUGGCACCCAAGCAGAGCUAGGAGGUCCAGGUCCUCCAGUGGCAGGGAGGGAGGGAGCUCCUUUCCAGGUACUUUCUUUCCUAGAUAGAGGAUCUUGGUGACUCAUCUCCCAGUUCAACUGUAAAGGCUAAGGGCCUCCUUGAAGUUUCCUUCCUUAUGAAAAUGUCCAUAGCAAGUUUGUCACUUAGGAAUGUUUUUCAAUGAUAGGAAACAGAAAAGCCAACUAGUAGGAGAUGAAAUAAGUUGAGAUUUUUUUUUUUAAUAGCAAGAAGUCUGGAUAUUGUCAGUAGCCGGCAUUGGUUUAGGACACAAUAAUAUUGGGGAUGAUGUCCUGUAUUUUUCUUGGCCUUUUUCUUACAGUCACAAUGUGGAUGCCAUGGCUCAAGGUAUCACAUCCCUAUUCAAGGCAGGAUAUAGGAGGAAGGGAUGGUGCCAGAUACAUCUGUCCCAUUUAUUAAAAAGCAAGCUUCUCCAAAACCC
rnacentral:lncRNA from 1 species